CUGCAUUGUGGAUGGUGGGUGACAAAUUAUACAUUAUGAUUAUGUAGUGUAUAAAUUAUUAUAAUUAUACAAAUAGCAUAAGAUUGGUGGGUGAUAUAAACUACAUUGAUUGAAUCAUUAAAACUACCUAAAUCUCAAUAUCGUAAAAAAAUUUGUGGCAACGUUUUUAUAAACUUAAAUAUUUAGAUGAAUAUAGUAAAUAAUGGUUUUGAUUUUUAAGGAUUAUGACAAUGUAAAUCUCAAAUGAGAAUAUAAAAUGAAAUUCAUUACUUUUGAAAGAGAUUCAAAUUGCUUCAAAUGUAAAUCUCAAAACACU
rnacentral:lncRNA from 1 species